CUGGCAAAUUUCCAACAUAUAUUAUCAACUACUAUUCUAUACAAAGAAAGAUAACUCCAAUUGAAAAUUAAUUGCUAUUGCACAAUAUUGUGCAAUUAGAUAUUUCUUGCUAUUGUGCAAUACUGUGCAAUUGAAAAUUUCUUGCUAUUGCACAAUACUUAAUAUGGAAUCCUGAUUUGGACCAACUUGAAAACUGGGCCCAUAAUCAAAAAUCAAAGUACAUGUUUAGAUAAAGCAUAUCAAAUAAGCCCAAUAAUUUAAUUUUUGUUAAAAUCAAACUUAGUUUAAUUUUGGACCCUUUGGACCUUAAUGUAGACCAAUUUGAAAACUGGACCAAAAAUUAAGAAUCUACAUACACAGUUAGAUUUGGCAUAUCAAAGAACCCAUUUAUUCAAUUUUUUGAUGAAAUCAAACAAAGUUUAAUUUUGGACCCCCAUUUAGACCAACUUGAAAACUAGGCCAAUAAUUAAAAAUCUAAGUACAUUUUUAAAUUCAGCAUAUCAAAGAACCCCAAGGAUUCAAUUUUUGUCAAAAUCAAACUAAGUUUAAUUUUGGACCCUUUGGACCUUAAUGUAGACCAAUUUGAAAACGGGACCAAAAAUUAAGAAUCUACAUACAUAGUUAGAUUCGGCAUAUCAAAGAACC
rnacentral:lncRNA from 1 species